GCAAACAAUACCACAGGGUUAAAACCAGCUAGCAAGUAUUUGUACCAUCCAUUUCCCUAAAUUACCACCUACCAAACAUCCAGGGAGUUGAGGCUGGGAGUCAACUCUCUCUAUCCUCCCUGCCUCCAUCUCUAUCACAGCAGAAGGGGUCCAGUAAAGGUUCACUCACAAGAAGAUGCUAGGACCUUAGAGUAUAUGCAGCAAGUGAUAUUUACCUUUUCUUUGGGCUUCUCAGAACAGCAACCAGAAAGUACAGUGGAGAUUGAUGCUGCCUCUUCUCAUAUACAGUAGCAACAUAUUUUUGGAGCUGAAGACCUCUCACUCCGCUUCCACUUUUGCUGCCCCUAUUCUGCCAUGAGUUUAGCUGCAGCUGAAGGAAGCCUUCUUGAUUCUGCAUCCAUCUUUUCCUUGGCUCUAGUUUCUGAUCUUGUACCUGAAACUACUUCUGGUCUCUUUUACAAGACUCAUCCCACCUCCACUGAUGACCAAAGAUGCUUCUCUCCUAUCAGAAUUCACACGGUUUGGUUGACACCAUCAUGCCAACAGCUAAAUAUCCCAGGAUUUAUGGACAAAUUGAAAAGGAGAUGGAAACAUGUCCACUAAUGACAGAGGAGAUCUUUGCUGCCCCCAUUACACGGGACAAAUGGAUCAGAGGGUUACAAAACAAAGUGUUUUGUGAGGUCUGAGGAGGAAGGGUUUUAAGGGAUGGGUAGGAAUUCAGCUGAAAAAGAGAGAUAUGUGGAGAAUAUUAUAGGCAGGGAGGUGGGAGGUGGGAAAGCAGAAUGUGCUCUGUGGGUAGACAAUAUAUUCCCAGUUUGAACCAUAGAGAUUAUAGAGGGGAAUAAUAAUGAGAUAACUGUUAAAAAAUGGGGUGAUACCAAAUUAUGAAAAGGCCUUGAAUAUCAGACAAAUAAUUCCCUUCUCCAAAGUAAACUAUUUGAAGGGGUCCAAAAUGUGGAAGAGGAACAAGAGAAUGAGGACACAGAAAAGGAGAAGGAGGCUAAAGAUGAAGAAGAGGAGCAGGAAAAGGAGGAAAAGAAAAAGGAAGAGGAGGAGGAAGAGAGAGAAAGUAGAGCAAAAUGAGGAGGAAGAAGAGGAAAAGGAAGAAGAGGAAGAAGAGGGGGGAGAAGAAGAACAAGAUGAGGAAGAGGAGGAGGAAGAGGAAAAAGAGGAGGAAGGUGAAGAGGAGGAGGAAGAGGAAGAGGAGGAAGAGGAGGAAGCAGAAAAAGAGAAAGGGAGAAAUAUCCAGCAGAAAGAAGAGUCAGCUUUUUUUUUCCCAAAACUUAUCAGCAAGGAUGACUUAACCCAUCCAUCGAGUUGGAUAUCUACCCUACUUUAAAAAGUGCUUCAAUAAAAGGAAAUCUCACAAUAUAUACUGGUGGAUCUAUGCC
rnacentral:lncRNA from 1 species